rnacentral:tRNA from 1 species
UAGCUCAGUCGGUAGAGCAGGGGACUGAAAAUCCCCGUGUCGGUGGUUCGAUUCCGCCUCUGGGCACCA